rnacentral:lncRNA from 1 species
UAGCUAUCAAAAUUAUUUAGUAUUAAAUAAUCAAGUUAAUAUAGACUUAAUUGAUCAAAAUUAUGCUAAUUAAACAAAACUUUUGGCGAAACAUUCUUAAUAUGUAUUUCAGAUUUCAAUAGUAUAAAACUAUAAAAUUGCCACCUUCACAGGUCCAAAAUCCAGCUUUACACACACAAACAAAUAGUAACUAAAACAUGCUUACAAAGUGCCUAGAAACAUAGUAGUGGUGAUUUAAAGGUCCAAUACAAAUCGUUGGUAUGAAUCCAACAGACAGUGCAAUGCGCGGAAACAAACGUGCUUAUAUUAGCAAAGGAGCUUGGGAUUCCUUCCAAAGUUCUAAACAAAACUCCAAUAAGCCUCACCAUUAAUUAGAAAAACAAUAUUAUAAUAAUAAUACAUGAUAAACAAAGAACAUGAAUGGCAUAGAAAAGUGACAUUUUCUUUUUAUAACGAUGAAUGCAUUGCGGAUCUCAUCAUGAGCCAAGAAAUUUUGCACAAUAAUAAAAAAUGAUAAUGAAUAAUCGAACAACUUGGGCUGAUUUUCAAAGGUGAGUGAAUAAACACAACCUUACCAUACAAUAAUGUAAACAUCGAACAACUUGGGCGAUUUUUUCGGUAGAUUUUAUGAGGUGCAGAUGAUUUUGGUCGGCGGUGAGUUUGGUGGGGUAUGGUUUUUUCCGGCGAAAUCGUUGGAAGAAGAGGAAGAGAGACGCGGUGGGGUUGACGUUGUG